GGGGGUAUAGCUCAGCUGGGAGAGCAGCAGACUGAAGUUAGAGCAUUCAACUGGCACUUCUGAAGGUCCCCGUUCGAUCCGCGGUAUCCCCA